CCUCAAGGUUGGGCCUCCGUGAAGAAACCUCUAGAAAGUCUAGAAAAUCCUCAGUCGACGUCCACCCUUGCUGAAGGUCGAGGGAGCUUGAGGCGCACCCCCAGAUCUGAGCAACCCACAGACAUCCGAUGAGGACAUGGAAUAGAGACUCCUCUACCUCCAGGCAAACCACACACGCUGUGGGGAUACUCAUCCCUCGCCAAGCCAGC
rnacentral:lncRNA from 1 species